UCAGGACGAACGCUGGCGGCGUGCUUAACACAUGCAAGUCGAACGAUGAAGCUGGUGCUUGCACUGGUGGAUUAGUGGCGAACGGGUGAGUAACACGUGAGUAACCUGCCCUUCACUUUGGGAUAAGCCUUGGAAACGGGGUCUAAUACCGGGUAUGACACAUUGCCGCAUGGUGGUGUGUGGAAAGCUUUUGUGGUGGAGGAUGGACUCGCGGCCUAUCAGCUUGAUGGUGGGGUAGUGGCCUACCAUGGCUUUGACGGGUAGCCGGCCUGAGAGGGUGACCGGCCACACUGGGACUGAGACACGGCCCAGACUCCUACGGGAGGCAGCAGUGGGGAAUAUUGCACAAUGGGCGGAAGCCUGAUGCAGCGACGCCGCGUGGAGGAUGAAGGCUUUCGGGUUGUAAACUCCUUUCAGCAGGGACGAAGCUUUUGUGACGGUACCUGCAGAAGAAGCACCGGCUAACUACGUGCCAGCAGCCGCGGUAAUACGUAGGGUGCGAGCGUUGUCCGGAAUUAUUGGGCGUAAAGAGCUUGUAGGCGGUUUGUCGCGUCUGCCGUGAAAGCCCAGGGCUUAACCCUGGGUCUGCGGUGGGUACGGGCAGACUAGAGUGUGGUAGGGGAGACUGGAAUUCCUGGUGUAGCGGUGAAAUGCGCAGAUAUCAGGAGGAACACCGAUGGCGAAGGCAGGUCUCUGGGCCAC
rnacentral:rRNA from 1 species